rnacentral:rRNA from 1 species
UACGUAGGGUGCGAGCGUUGUCCGGAAUUAUUGGGCGUAAAGAGCUCGUAGGCGGUCUGUCGCGUCUGCUGUGAAAUCCCGAGGCUCAACCUCGGGCUUGCAGUGGGUACGGGCAGGCUAGAGUGCGGUAGGGGAGAAUGGAACUCCUGGUGUAGCGGUGGAAUGCGCAGAUAUCAGGAAGAACACCGAUGGCGAAGGCAGUUCUCUGGGCCGUAACUGACGCUGAGGAGCGAAGUCGUGGGGAGCGAGCAGG